rnacentral:rRNA from 1 species
CCUACGGGUGGCAGCAGUGGGGAAUAUUGGACAAUGGGCGAAAGCCUGAUCCAGCCAUGCCGCGUGUGUGAAGAAGGCCUUCGGGUUGUAAAGCACUUUCAGUGGGGAAGAAAGCCUUGGGGCUAAUACCCUCGAGGAAGGACAUCACCCACAGAAGAAGCACCGGCUAACUCCGUGCCAGCAGCCGCGGUAAUACGGAGGGUGCGAGCGUUAAUCGGAAUUACUGGGCGUAAAGCGCGCGUAGGCGGUCUGAUAAGCCGGUUGUGAAAGCCCCGGGCUCAACCUGGGAACGGCAUCCGGAACUGUCAGGCUAGAGUGCAGGAGAGGAAGGUAGAAUUCCAGGUGUAGCGGUGAAAUGCGUAGAGAUCGGGAGGAAUACCAGUGGCGAAGGCAGUCUUCUGGACUGACACUGACGCUGAGGCGCGAAAGCGUGGGUAGCAAACAGGAUUAGAUACCCUUGUAGUC